UUAAGUUCAGCGGGUAGUCCUACCUGAUUUGAGGUCAGAUUUCAAAGCAAAUUGACCGCCACUCCAUAGGCAAGGUCGUGGGAGGACAACCAAAGGGGAACCUCUCGGUCGAGCGAGGAUGUUACAACGCCCAGUCGAGUUCGACCCACAGGUCCAACCGAUGCAUUUGAGGGGAGCCACUUUGCAGCGGCAAACCCCCA
rnacentral:misc_RNA from 1 species